CAGCCAACAUCUAUUACAAAGAUCCAUAUGGCUAGGGAUUAUAUUUAUGUGUAGUCAAAUUAUAGCAACCCCACUGUGAACAGUCGAGGUACUAUAGAUCAAGGACUAGUCACAUCACUACAGCAUCGAAUAAGUCACUGACAAAUGAGUAAAUAUCUAAGUGACUUCUCAUGUGGUCAUGCUCAGUACAGUUAUUCUCUAAUAACCACCUACACUCACACCCAGUGUCCACACACUAUAGACUCAAGACUCAUCU
rnacentral:lncRNA from 1 species